AGCUACAGGCUUAACACAUGCAAGUCGAGGGUCAGCAUUUCAGUUUGCUUGCAAACUGGAGAUGGCGACCGGCGCACGGGUGAGUAACACGUAUCCAACCUGCCGAUAACUCGGGGAUAGCCUUUCGAAAGAAAGAUUAAUACCCGAUGGUAUAAUCAGACCGCAUGGUCUUGUUAUUAAAGAAUUUCGGUUAUCGAUGGGGAUGCGUUCCAUUAGGCAGUUGGUGAGGUAACGGCUCACCAAACCUUCGAUGGAUAGGGGUUCUGAGAGGAAGGUCCCCCACAUUGGAACUGAGACACGGUCCAAACUCCUACGGGAGGCAGCAGUGAGGAAUAUUGGUCAAUGGGCGCAGGCCUGAACCAGCCAAGUAGCGUGAAGGAUGACUGCCCUAUGGGUUGUAAACUUCUUUUAUAUGGGAAUAAAGUUUUCCACGUGUGGAAUUUUGUAUGUACCAUAUGAAUAAGGAUCGGCUAACUCCGUGCCAGCAGCCGCGGUAAUACGGAGGAUCCGAGCGUUAUCCGGAUUUAUUGGGUUUAAAGGGAGCGUAGGUGGACAGUUAAGUCAGUUGUGAAAGUUUGCGGCUCAACCGUAAAAUUGCAGUUGAUACUGGCUGUCUUGAGUACAGUAGAGGUGGGCGGAAUUCGUGGUGUAGCGGUGAAAUGCUUAGAUAUCACGAAGAACUCCGAUUGCGAAGGCAGCUCACUGGACUGCAACUGACACUGAUGCUCGAAAGUGUGGGUAUCAAACAGGAUUAGAUACCCUGGUAGUCCACACAGUAAACGAUGAAUACUCGCUGUUUGCGAUAUACAGUAAGCGGCCAAGCGAAAGCAUUAAGUAUUCCACCUGGGGAGUACGCCGGCAACGGUGAAGCUCAAAGGAAUUGACGGGGGCCCGCACAAGCGGAGGAACAUGUGGUUUAAUUCGAUGAUACGCGAGGAACCUUACCCGGGCUUAAAUUGCAUUUGAAUAUAUUGGAAACAGUAUAGCCGUAAGGCAAAUGUGAAGGUGCUGCAUGGUUGUCGUCAGCUCGUGCCGUGAGGUGUCGGCUUAAGUGCCAUAACGAGCGCAACCCUUAUCUUUAGUUACUAACAGGUCAUGCUGAGGACUCUAGAGAGACUGCCGUCGUAAGAUGUGAGGAAGGUGGGGAUGACGUCAAAUCAGCACGGCCCUUACGUCCGGGGCUACACACGUGCUACAAUGGGGGGUACAGAAGGCAGCUACCUGGUGACAGGAUGCUAAUCCCAAAAGCCUCUCUCAGUUCGGAUCGAAGUCUGCAACCCGACUUCGUGAAGCUGGAUUCGCUAGUAAUCGCGCAUCAGCCAUGGCGCGGUGAAUACGUUCCCGGGCCUUGUACACACCGCCCGUCAAGCCAUGAAAGCCGGGGGUACCUGAAGUACGUAACCGCAAGGAGCGUCCUAGGGUAAAACUGGUAAAAGG
rnacentral:rRNA from 1 species